rnacentral:misc_RNA from 1 species
UAUGAUGGCAAGGCUUCUGGUGAACGUAUGUCAUAAUAUUCAGCAUUUGUUCACAACAUUUAAUAAUUAUUAAGUUCCUUUUUAUAAAAGUGGAAGGUUAUAUUAAAUAUUAACUUGUUUUACAGUGUCGGGCUCACAUUGACGAAUGAAAGUUACUGGUGGUAGGUGACACCUAACAAAGUUGAAUUUAAAAUGUGCUCCAACUGCAAGUAUGGGUUUAAUAAAUUAAUAAUUAAUAACCACUGAUGAAAUGGAAGAACGUGUAGAAGUUUGUCUUUAUUCUUUGAGAAAUUAUUAGGUGUUUUAGUGUGUAUAUAUUAUCUGUUAUAACUAUGUAAGAUGAAUUCUUUAUAUUAUAGGAAGAG